UUUUUUGCAUAAUUACUAAAUAAAGGUAUACAAUAAAAUAUAUUAUACACAUUAACAUCAACGAUUUUAGGUGCCUAUUUCUAAUAAGUGGAAAAUUAAAAAACUGAGGAAGUAACUUUGCUGUAUAGGAGGUUUCGAGUGUACCUCGUCGUUGAGUAUAGGUCAUAACUCAUAGCAAUGGAUGUAAAAUUGACAUAUUAUAUUGAGGUAUGAAUAAUGAAUAUACCUACGUAUGAUGAACAUGGGACGACGAGACUGCAAGUUUAUUCGAUACAGUAGUACCGACUACCGGAGUAUCUAGAAUGCUAUCUACAAAACGUCAGAGAAAUGUUAAAUUAGCUUCAUGUCAUCCAUCUACUAAGGUACUCAAAUCAAGUGGGUUCAAAACAGGAAAGUAAUUAUGAGAUGGAUGAUCGAUAUUAAAUAUAAGCGCUACAAUCAUACCUAUGUAAAAUGAAAACAUAUCUUUUAGUAUAAAUUGUUUAAAUCAUGUGUAGAUGUAAAAACAAUAAUUGUUGUAAUAAUAAUAGCAUUUUAUUUUAUGGGCACAAUUUAACUUUUAAAACAUAUUUUAAUCUUAUCUAUCUAUAGUUGUAAUUCUGUGUUUAUGUGUAAUCAAGUUGAGUUCAUUAAUAAUUAACACAAUUUUCAAUUUAUCAAAAUGUAUAUUUAAAUAUUUGAAUUCUUCGGUUGAGCUAUUUACAGAGACUGUGACAAGCUGUCUUUUUAUAAUGAAUUAAGUGAGGAAUUAAUCAUACCAUUGUACUACUAUUACAGCUUGAAACAUUUGAUCGAACAUAGGAAUAAUUAUAAAAUCCUUAUCAUACUUAAUAUGUACCUACCUGCCUAAUUAAAUUACCUAUACAUCAAACUAAUUUAUCUGAAAUUUGAAUUUCUGAUCAAUACCACUCAGUUAUCGUAGUGGUUUUUGUAUAGGUUUUGAUAUUGAUUAACGAAUCUAAAAUAGCUAGAUAUUUUAUAUCAAUGAUACGGAUGUUGCGUCGUGUAUUAUAAUAAUUUACCUAGAGAUAUAGGGUAUUAAUACUAAUAAAUAAAAAACAUUUUGACGAGUUUUUGUGUGUAAUUUAAAGUGGACUGUAUUCAAAUGUAAAACACCACACAACAUGGAAAGAUAAUAGAUAAUAUUA